AUACGUAGGGGGCGAGCGUUGUCCGGAAUGAUUGGGCGUAAAGGGCGCGUAGGCGGCCCGGUAAGUCUGGAGUGAAAGUCCUGUUUUUAAGAUGGGAAUUGCUUUGGAUACUGCAGUGCUAGAGUGCGGAAGAGGUAAGUGGAAUUCCCAGUGUAGCGGUGAAAUGCGUAGAGAUUGGGAGGAACACCAGUGGCGAAGGCGACUUACUGGGCCGUAACUGACGCUGAGGCGCGAAAGCGUGGGGAGCGAACAGGAUUAGAUACCCUGGUAGUCCACGCGGUAAACGAUGAAUGCUAGGUGUUGCGGGUAUCGACCCCUGCAGUGCCGGAGUAAACACAAUAAGCAUUCCGCCUGGGGAGUACGGCCGCAAGGUUGAAACUCAAAUGAAUCGACGGGG
rnacentral:rRNA from 1 species